rnacentral:rRNA from 1 species
CCCUUAGAUGUUCUGGGCUGCACGCGUGCUACACUGAUAUUGCCAAUAUGUCAUUCUUAUCCGAAAUGGAUUGGGUAAUCAAGUAAUGAAAUUUCAUGCUUGGAAUCGGUAAUUGCAAUUUUAUCGUGAACGAGGAAUUCCUAGUAAGCACUAGUCAUCAGCUAAUGUUGAUUAUGUCCCUGCCCUUUGUACACACCGCCCGUCGCUACUACUGAUUGGGUGUUCAAGUGAGAUGCUUAGACCCUUGUUGCAUGGUUCAUUAUUGUGCUCCGAAAGGAAAAAGUUUCAAGCUCGAGUGUCUAGAGGAAGUAAAAGUCGUAACA